UUUGAUCCUGGCUCAGAGUGAACGCUGGCGGCAGGCCUAACACAUGCAAGUCGAACGCUCUAGCAAUUGGGAGUGGCAGACGGGUGAGUAACGCGUGGGAACCUUCCCUUUGGUUCAGGAUAGCCCCGGGAAACUGGGAUUAAUACUGGAUAAGAUCUACGGAUGAAAGAUUUAUCGCCGAAGGAUGGGCCCGCGUAAGAUUAGUUAGUUGGUGAGGUAAUGGCUCACCAAGACUUUGAUCUUUAGCUGGUCUGAGAGGAUGAUCAGCCACACUGGAACUGAGACACGGUCCAGACUCCUACGGGAGGCAGCAGUGAGGAAUAUUGGACAAUGGGCGCAAGCCUGAUCCAGCCAUGCCGCGUGAGUGAUGAAGGCCUUAGGGUUGUAAAACUCUUUUAGUAGGGAAAAUAAUGAUGGUACCUACAGAAAAAGCUCCGGCUAACUUCGUGCCAGCAGCCGCGGUAAUACGAAGGGAGCUAGCGUUACUCGGAAUAACUGGGCGUAAAGCGCAUGUAGGCGGAACUACAAGUCAGGGGUGAAAUCCCGGGGCUCAACCCCGGAAUUGCCUUUGAAACUGUAGUUCUUGAGUAUGACAGAGGAUGGUGGAAUUUCCAGUGUAGAGGUGAAAUUCGUAGAUAUUGGAAAGAACACCGGUGGCGAAGGCGACCAUCUGGGUCAUUACUGACGCUGAGAUGCGAAAGCGUGGGGAGCGAAUGGGAUUAGAUACCCCGGUAGUCCACGCCGUAAACGAUGAGUGCUAGUCGUUGGGGUUUUCCUCAGUGACACAGUUAACACGUUAAGCACUCCGCCUGGGGAGUACGGUCGCAAGAUUAAAACUCAAAGGAAUUGACGGGGACCCGCACAAGCGGUGGAGCAUGUGGUUUAAUUCGAUGCUACGCGAAAAACCUUACCAACCCUUUGACAUCCCUCUUACGGGCUUUGUAAUAGAAGCC
rnacentral:rRNA from 1 species